AGAUUGAACGCUGGCGGCAUGCCUAACACAUGCAAGUCGAACGGGAGUAGCAAUACUCUAGUGGCGGACGGGUGAGGAAUACGUAGGAAUUUGCCCUUAAGUGGGGGAUAACCCGGGGAAACCCGGAUUAAUACCGCAUGACCUCGAAAGAGCAAAGUGGGGGAUCGCAAGACCUCACGCUUUUGGAGAAGCCUACGUCGGAUUAGCUAGUUGGUGAGGUAAUGGCUCACCAAGGCGACGAUCCGUAACUGGUCUGAGAGGAUGAUCAGUCACACCGGAAUGAGACACGGUCCGGACUCCUACGGGAGCAGCAGUGGGGAAUA
rnacentral:rRNA from 1 species